CGGAAGUUCCCCUGAGAUGGCUGGAGAUCCCCAUCUGGCGAGAGGAGCCCCCACCUCACAGGGACCAGUCUGGAAUGGGGACAUAUGCCACGCAGCUGCUCUCCAGGCUGAUGGCAGGGUAGCCCCUACGCCCCCAGCAAGCUACCAUGGACCACAGGCUGACACAUCAGGCUUCAGCAAGACCUUGAAGGAAAAGCUUGUGUCUGAAGAGGUCUCCCUCCUGGGCAGCUCAGGCACUGUGGUGAAGACAGCUCACCCAGCAGCCUCCAAGGACGCAGCAG
rnacentral:lncRNA from 1 species